GUCUGCAAAAAACUGCAGGAAAAAAGCUAUCAAGUGUCUUUAUCUCUCACUCAUAAAAGUGAAAUAAAGUCUGUAUUGUGCUACCUUCAACCAGUGGGAGCAACUGUAUUUCAGGGAGUUAAUGAGAGGCUCAGAGAGAGGUAAGGAAAGCAAGGCCUGGGCACAGCUCUCUUCACAUUAGUACUGACUGCAGUCUGACUUCUCCCACUCUCAUGAGCCUUAGAUGGUGUCUGCCAGGGCACAGACUGCCUCCCUUCCAACCUGUCCAACCCCAGACUGAUGGAUAUGCUGUCUCUUUUUCCACAGAGCUGUACAGGGUGGAGAUGUGACAAGAAAACUGGCCAUUGUCAGCUCAUGCGAAAUCACAGUGAAGGUCACACGUCUGCAGUCUUCUCUGUGAUAUAGCUGGUGUCAACACUUCUUCUCACUGCUGGUUUAUCUCAUUUAAAACUGCAGGCUUCCCUGAGGACUUUCAGCAAGGUGGCUAAUGCAUGUAUUACAGUAUAAUCUCACUUUUUUUUUUUUUUUUUUUUGACAGCACAGACAAAGCAUUGAAAGCACCUAUUUGGAAGAGUAGAAGACAUUUGAACUUCUGUCUUGUCUUGGAGGUUUCACUAAAAUAGAGGAUCAUUCAUUUUGUAGACAAUUUUGAAAAUCCUAUGGUAAAAACUGUCAGGAAGUUACUUUUCAGCUAGUGGGAAAACUUUUUCUUGCAAUGAAUCUGAUUGCACUGUAAAAUAUUCCAUUUGUAUAGCUUGCUGCUUCUUUUACAAAAAUAUUUACAAGCGAGAGGUUUUUUUCCUUCAGAACAAAUCUGUUCUUUCUAUUUCACGUUCAACUGAAGUCAUAAAACACUAACAUGCAUCACAAUUUCCAGCUGGGAAAAAAAAUUGUGGUUAUCAUUCAUUCAAGCUUGGGCAAAGGACAAAAUGUGAAGUUUUUAAGGACUUAAUGUUAUGUUUUUUUAAAGGACUUUUUUUUGAGUGCCUCAUGAAGCAUGAACUGCUCUUCUGUGUUACUCAAGGAUGGAUGGAUAUUCAAUAGGCUAAUAUUUACCAUGUUGGAAAAAGAUUCAAACCACGUGAAUAUUUGUUCAUUCCUGUUGGCUUAACAAAACUGACAGUCAUGUCACAUUUUAUCAUGACAUGCACCAGACAGAGAACAGCAUCCUAAAAGCCAGUUCAAAGCAGCAUGUCAUGUACAGCAAAAAACUGUAAGGAGAUAUUGUCUGACUUUGAAUGGGUGGUAAAAAACUCUACUGCCUUCAGAUUUUCUUUAGUAAGAAAUGUCUUAUGCCCAGCAUUUGAAACAUAUUAAGAGUUGCCUGGCUUUCUGCUGCAAUAUUUUCUUGUUUUACUAAUUCCCUGGGUUUCACCGUACCAAGUUGUAUUAACACCUUGCAGCUGUAAUGGCAUGGCUGAGAGUCUCUUCAUAAAGAUUAUGGGACACACAGCUACAGUGGGUCCAUUGUGAGAGUUUACUAUAGGCAGCCCUACCAGGAUGAUGACACUGAUGAGGGUGUCCUCCUCCUUCAAGGAACAAAGAGGGUUCCUCUAAAUCACCUGCCCCUGUCCUUUCUGGGGACUUUUGCUGGGUGUAGGGUGGGAAUACCACACAGCUGGUACAAACAGGCUCAGGAGAUUACUAGAACACCUGGAUGAUAACUUCAUGGUACCUGUACUAAGAGAGACAAGUGGUGAAGGUGCCCUCCUUGAUUUGAUGCAUGUUGAGAGCAAAGGUGUCAUGAGCAAAGCAAGUGGCAGUGCUCUUGGCCACAGUGUCCAUCAAGCAGUUGAAUUUAAAAUCUCUGGUGACAGGAGGAAAAGUGGCAGCAAUGCUUCAAGCCUGAACACAAGGCAAAUAGACUGCUCAGGAAAUUAGUAAGAUCCCCUGGGAAAAUGCCUUUGAAGGUUCAUCAGUGCUGAUCAUGUUUUCUAUGUAGUUUUUCAGUAAAAAUAUUCCUGGUUCUAUUUUUUCAAUUGACUUAAAGAGUAAAAUUUCCCAGUUGACAUCUAGUUUUAAUAUUCAAAUAUUCAUUAAAAAUGCAGAUUUUGUGUUCAAUUCUGUGGUGCUCUUAUACUGGCUGUAUACCUUUGGUAUGUUCCUCUCACUUUUUUUCACUCUGUGAUGUAAAACAACAACCUCCAAAAAUUGCUGUAUCCAUGUCAGUAGUGAUACAUCUUUUCUCCAAAACCAUUGUCCAGUCUUUUGUAUUUGAAAAUGCCUUUGGUUGAAGGUAAUUAUUCUGCAUUUCUAGGUCAUAGUUUGCUAUAAUGAAAUGGGAGUGGAGAGGGCCUUGAGCCUAAUUCCAGAAAAAAUCACCUUCAAGCAAGUUCUACCAAAUGGUGAACAUUUGCUCUAUUUGUAAUUAGUAGGAGGGAAGGGGAAAAGGAAAGUGUCAUUUUUCUCUGAGUGUGGAUUACUUACAGACAUUCUGUUUCCUACUACCAAGGUCUUGUGGUAGCUCUUUUUUUUCCAUUACCCCACAGCUAUUCAUUAGCUGAUGUGCCAAUGUCUGUCACAGUUUCUCCUGUGGGACAAUGGUGUCUUAAUAUUUUAGCAACAGCACAGAGAUGUAAUUAUCUGUAAAUAAUUUAACAUGUGUUUCAUCCAUGUGGAAGCUAUCCAAUCAGUCAAAGCAAAAAACUCCCUACAUUUUCUAUCAAAGUUUGAGUCUUCUGCAAUAUGUUUGUUGUCAUCUUUGGAUUCUCAAAAUCCUUCAUUAGGUAUUUCCUCCCUCAAAUAUUUGGAACAUCAAGCCAUCUUACAUUUCUGGGGACAAACUCAGACAUGAUGUGAAUAAGUAUAUCCUGAGGAAUUCGUGAUGUUUAAACCAUAUAUAGUAUUAGAGUAUUACUGAAUAUUGUGUGCCUUGUUAAUAUUUAUUACCUAUAUUCAGGAAGAACAUACAUAACUUUAAUUAAAAGUUUUUUAAAGAUAAGAGUAUUAAUUAUGCUGGCUAUAUAUUUUCUUCUCUCUGAUCAAGCAAGCAUUCAAAAAUUAAUUUUCAUCAGCUUCAUUUUCUUGUUAUUUUUCUUCCUUUGCACUUUACCAUGACAGUUUUGUAAAAUGAGAAUGAGAUUAAAAAUUAAAACAUUAUUCACUGCAUGGGCAUUCAGAAAGAGAGGAAUUUAUUUGCCUGACACCAGCCUCCAAAGGGUCCAAAAGAGGCAGUCAGACCUGUGCUGAAUGUUACUGCUAGUUUAUUCACACGUUAGUAAUGUCUGCCAUCAGUUUAUGAUGUACCUAGCUUCUAAAAUAAACUGCCUAGAAAUAAGUGAGUAAAUGUGAGUAAUCCCAAGGAGUAUUAUAGCAUUAUUUCUUCUUGGGAAGACUGGAAUGCAUAUAGCUCUUUCUAGGACCAAGGUUAGAAAAUCCUUUGGAAUGGAGGCCUUAUCUCCCUAUAUGCAAAGAGUUUACCAUUCUCUGGAGGGUAUAUUCAUGUGUAUAAAUGACAUAUUUGAUUCAUGUUUGACAAAGUUUGAUAUAAGACAUUUCCAAUAUGUAUAAUUUUUAGCUAGAAGAGGAGCUGACUUCAGCUAUUUUGAAUGUUUAAAUUUCACUUUAGACAUUGAAAGACUGCAUAUUUACCUGAGCAUGUGUGUGUAUGGGACAAUUUAUGGGUAAUCUCAAUUUGCACUGCAAUCUCAAAGGUUUCCCUGUGAUUCUGAAGUAAGAAUAAUGUGAAGAAUAAUUUCUGCAGUCCUCAGAGUGAAAAUCAGUCUGUGCAUAUGUGUCUAUAACAGAGAAAUUUAUUAGCUAGAGCUAAUAUGAGCCAGGAUAAUCUAUACUUAGGAGGGAUAUACUUGACACAGCAUAAGUUCUAGCUACUUUGGCUGGAAGAUAAUGAUUAAAGAGAUACCAGCUUGUUUAAAAGUGUGAAUUACACUCACUUUCAAUGAGGUAGGAAUAAUAAGCAUGAAUAUAUUCGUCCAAAAUUUCUCUUAUAUGAGUGUGCUCAUACAAUAGAAAAGUGUAAAGAAUUUGAAAUCAAGGGGUUUUUAGCAAAAAGUGAGCACUGUUAUUAGUUACUGAGUGAAUUUCUUCUGCUUUAGUAUUGUUGCUAUGCAAAAAAAUCACGUUCUUUGAGCAACCAGAUGGAAGAUAUAUUGAACUGUUGAAAUAUAUUAAGCAUAAGAGCAUUCUGAGUGUAAAACACUAAAAGAUGGAAGGCCAAAUCCUGAGGGUUUUUUUAAUCAUAAUUUAAUAUUAUAAUGGAGCCUCACUAAUGAGAACCUAUCUGACACUCCAGUGUCAGCUCCUUAAAAGCUAAUGGAACAGCAGCAGUAAGGAUUCACAGGACUAUGAACGGUACUGCAGACCACACUGUUGAUUUGAAGUCAUAUCUUGUGUGCAGGAUAUGUUUCAGAUGUAUUUGAAUAAUAUUUGUGAAUAAUAUAUAAGUUAAUUUUUUCCCAGUUAAUUAUCAAAUGCAUUAUUAAUGAACACGUAUUAUUCAAUUGACAUUUUAUAAACUCAAAUAAUUUAUGUAAAUAGAUUAAUCUAGAUUUUUACCCCUUUUCUCUGUGGCUUUUUUUCCCUCAGAGAAGGCAACUUCUACUAAAUUUUGUUUUACCAGUGAAAGGAUUCAAUUCAAUUUGUUUUUAUUGUACUGUUAACUUGCAUUUCUAAUGUCCCCAUGGGAAAUCACUGUAGAGUCAUUAGUGUGCUUUAAAUUCACAUUGGAGCUUAAUUUACAGUAACGUGACUAAGGAAAAAACUUAGUAAGUACAUAUCAUUUUUUCACUGAGGUUUUAAUUUUAAAACAUGCAUAUUCUUCCUUGUUCCUUUAGCUACAGCAAAAUAGUUGAUUUUCAUUAGAUGUACCCUUUAGUCUAACUGUCAAGUUAGGUAUGAAUGGAAUAGAAACCUGACUAUGGAGUUAAAUUAUUUUUCCUUAUUAUUUUGUUAUAUAAACUCAAAAUAUUUACUAUCAGGAAGUCUCCAAUUAAAAAGAAAUAAUAUGUUACUGAAGUAUGCAUUGUUUAAGUAUAUGUAUCUUAACCUGCGUGUUGUAUGGAUAUGUAAACACAUGAGUUAUCAUGCAAUUAAUGUAGAUUUAAUGAGGAACUUUGACUAUUUAUAGUUUUAUAAUUCAGGAGGCAUCUCCUUCCUCUCUAUUAGGAUUAUAAGGAUUUGAUUUUGGAGGACAUAUUUUCUUCAUGUGUGAGUACGUUGACAAGUGCAGUGGAGCCCUGAUAACUGAUAUGUCUCCAUAAUCUUGUCUAAUUGACAUCUUGGACAUUUUUGAGUUUUCACAUUGCCAGAAGCAUUGACGAAGCGUUGCUAAAUGAUAAUAUGCAAAGCUUGUUUCCACAGCUCAGAUGAAAUAAAUAGUCUGUACUUUGGAGCGCAGUCUGUGAGGGAUAAAGUCUUACUAAGCUGUAGAAUGGUGAAACUCUGAUGCUUUAAGUAUUGGAUAGGGAACAAAUAACAGGUGGGGCCAUGCCAUCAUACAGCUAUUUCUGUAAUUGCAUCGUUCUUUUCUGAAAAUAUCUCAGAAGGAAAACAAUCCCCAGCAAUCCAUUCAGUAAAUGGCAGAAAUAAUGAUCCUAGAUCCAAUCAACAGAUGUCCAAUGUCCUCAAUUGUCCAUCAUUGCAGUAUUUCUGGCUCCUUUCUCUACCCUCUACUACUCUUGCUGUAGGAGUGGGAACAGCCUAGAAUAAUGUGCCUACUUUUUUUCUUUUUUCAUUUUUUAAGUGUUUUCAUAGAUGGGUAAAGCUCUAGAAUGAAAAUUAAACUACACAGUUAUAAAAAAGUAAUGAGACAGAAAUUAUGUCACGUAUAUCUAUCAACCUGGCUUCAAAUAGGGAACAUGUUUGCGCUAACAUAGAUUUCAGGAAUACACUGUAUUAUACAGUGUAUCCUGAAAGUGUUCUAGCACAUUUGGUGAAGUCGCUGUUCUACCUGUUUAAAAGUUAGAGUAGAGCAGUGAGGACUGAGCAGAGGUGCUAGUAGACAAAAUACUUAGAAACUUUGCAGCCUCAAUUAUUAUCUUGACUUCAUCCUUACCUGCUCAGAACUUCCCUAUGGCUGAUACCCAAUCCAGGGCCACUGAGGCCAAUAUAAAAUUGCUACGGACAUUAAUAAGAGAAGGAUUUCCUUUAUAUUGAAAAGAUUAUAUUUAAUAUAUAAAAAAUGGCAAUAAAGUGAGUUUCAAUUGGAAAAGUAAACAGUGUCGACAUAUCUUUGAAAAUUCCAUUCUGAACAAACUAACUGCAAAAAACCCUCUAAAAAUGACUUACAUAAGUGACAUUUAUUGUGAAUAGGAUAUAUGAUCAGAAACUGGUUGAAACAACAAGAGUAAUAGAAAUAUAACAAGACUUAUCAGAAUUAGGUAUGUCUAGAUAGAUGAAAGUAAAAAGGUCACUUUUUCUCUCUUUGGUUGUUUACUUUGAUUUUAAAGGAAGGAGUGCAAUCUCUGAGGAUUUUAAAUAUAGUGGCAUAAUGAAAGUGAAAAUAAACCCCAAAAAUAACUCAAAAUCACUGAAAAUGCAAAAAAGAUCUCUUGGGAAUAUGAUCUAGGGGUGAAAUAGUAUAGUUAAAGUGUCAGUCAAAGUAAAGAAUCUUAUUAAAAGCAUAAUGUUGAAAUUUCCUGGUGAGAAAUAUAGACAGAAAAUACAGCAAAAGAUCUAUGUUGCUUUAUGACAUCACUUUAAGGAGUUGGAAAAAAACCAGAAAAUACAAAAUAAUAGAAAAGAUCUGAAUGUAAGGUGAUAGAAUAAGAAUAAUAGAACAAUCAGACCCGAUAAGUCACAAGAAACAUUUUGAAGCAAUAAAAUGUAAUAGGAAAGACUGUAUAAAUAAAUUGAAAGAAAAAAUGCUUUACUCAUCAGAGAGAAAAGAAAAUAGUGAGCAACAUAGUGAAGACAGAUGUAUGGAGUUCUUUUUGUAAAGUAUUUGUAAAAAAAUCCAUGGUGAUUGAUUCUUAAAACUUUUGAAGAUUGUAGGAAGUACAAUAGAAGAAGAAGGGUGAAAUGAAAUGUAGGUAAGUCAAAUGAUAAGACAGUUUACGAGACAUCACCUGGGGUGACUUUCAGCAGUGGGGCUGUGGGUGAAGUUCACUAUAAGUUGAUCCCAAGUGGGAAAAUAAAGGCUUGAUCUUAUAAUAUCUGGUGUUAUGCAACAAGGCAAGAAAGAUGAUGUAGUAAAUAAGCUGACAAAAUUUCCACCAGCAGUAAUUUCUGUUAACAUUUUUGCUUUUUUAAACUAUAACACACAGAAGCCCUUCCAAGUACUGAGAAAACCCUCUCAACAGGACAACUGGAUCUCAGUUUCAGGUUAUGAACUAGGGAAUAAAAGACUUAGUCAGAUAAAUGCCCAGUGUAUGGAAAAUCUGGUUUAUGAUCAGUGAAGAAAUGGAUGAAAUGUAGACAAAUGAAGGAAGAUAGCAAAAUUCCCCUGUAUCCUCUCCAAUCUAAUUUGAAUCUCAUUAUGUUCUCAUACUUUAAAACUCUCCCUUGUAUCCACAUGACAGCUGUAAGUAGUGAAGCAACACAUCUAUUUCUCCACCCACUCCCCAAAGAAAGAAUAAUGUAAAAUAAUGUAAAAUAUUUAUGCUUUGUGUUUAUGUAUUUACUGUAGCAUUUCUAUAUAGAUGUAGCACUGAAGAAAAAUUUUAAUUGAUUACAGACAUAAUCUGGUACCUCAGAACAGCCUUGAAAAGGACUAAUUGUUGAAGAAUAUAUUGGGAGCAUGAUUUUUUUGUACCUCCACUACCCUACACUAUGCUUAUAGACCAGAGGCACCAAUCUACUAUAUUAAUGCAAAAAAAUGUACUAAUGCAGUUUCCUCUUUACUGAAGUAACACAGGGAUCUUGUGACCAAAUUUCAGAAUGAAGUCUAUCUUAUAGGAGGUCUUUCUGGACAUUGUAUAGGUAUUAAUUUUAAAUGGGUGAUAUUUGUGCCUCUUCUUCAGAAUAAUCCUAAUACACUGAGAAAUUUCUGACUGUGACAGAUUAGGACUCAGAUAAAAGGUUAAGAUCCAGAUAAAAGAUUCCAAAAUAUUUGUCGCAUGUGAAAUAUUUUCUAGUUUAGUCAGGUUAAAAUAAUCUGACAUCCCCCCAAAUAUCAAUUAAUUUCUUUGCUUACACUGGACUCAUUGAUGUUGUAUCUCUAUGCUCAAACAAAUCAAUGCCUCUUUUAAUUAUUUCAUCCAGUUCCAGCAGACUCAUGUUCUAUUUAACAUGUGUGUCAAUAUUUCCCAACUCCAUUUCUAUUCUUUUGUUUGAUUUCAUGUUUGGUAAGUGUUUAAUGUGUAAGUCCUUAUAUUACUUUUCACAUUAAGUGAGGUAGAUAUUUAUGUUUUUCAGUAGUUAAAUUUGAUAUUUAGAAAAAGUGUAUUCAAUAUGAUUCUUUAGUAAAAUAAAAAUAAAAAACCUAAUAAAAUGUGGAAUUGUUGUAAUUUAUCAAUUCUACUGUAAUACUUUGUAUGAAACUGAGUAUGUACUUACACCUGCUUCUGGUGUAGAAUCAUAGUAAGUCUCAAGUUGUGUACAACUAAGGUAAAGCUAAAACUCAAAUAGUGGAAACUUAUAUACUACAAGAAAAAAGACCUCUCAGAUUCCUGUUCUUCUUGAGCUUAGUUGCCUUGAAACAUACAAGACUGUUCUAGCAACCACAUAUUAUUUAAGAAAUUAUUUUAGGACAUUUCACUGACAGGCAGAUGAAGCCUGUCAAUAAUUAUACUGAAAAGCUCUGGAAGUCUGUGAAGCCAAGGAUCCAAUAAAAGCUAUUUUACCUGUAUACCUGUACUGUACUGAUUUUUGAAUAUAUGUAUAUUCAGAAUAGAAAGCUAAAGGUAGCUCAGCCUCUGUGGAAAUAAUUCUUCUGUUCAUUACAAGCUGUCUGAGUUUAAGUUGAUUAGACCUCAGAAGAAGAGUAGAGAUUUUUAUGUCUUUUCUGUGGUCAUAGAAACUACUGUAAACAAUACAAAGAGUCUGAAAAAACCUAUUGUGAGACAGAUUGAACUGAGUGUAUAGAGGAGUUAAUGAAUUAGGGUGUUAAACUUGAGCUGUUUUCUGUUUUGCAGUAUUACUGGUUUUUGUUUUUUUGAGGAUUCAACAUAUUAAAUUCUCAGGGGGUCACCCUGUCAGCCUCAAUUCUGUGGCCUGGAUUUAGUUGAAUCAAUCCUAAUUGAAAUUCUGCACAGGUCUGGUAUUCUGUGGAGAUUGCAGAUGAAUGACAGUGCAGUGGCAGGAAAGAUAAAUAUGCUGGCAAAUGAGAUCCAGGGUCUCCACAGAGGAUGGAAUAAAUUACUUUACCAAUACAGUGGAGGUAAUAUGCUGGAGAAAGAAAGUGAAAUCGAAGCUAGUUUAAUACAAGGCUUGUUAAAAAACAUAUGAGAAAAGAAGCCAACAAUGCAGUUAAGAUUUACUUAAAAUACAGAUUUCUGAUGUGAAUGUAUUUAGGCCACUUCUUUUCUAUUGUGAAUAAUGAUCAAUGCAUACACUUUAAUUUCAUUUAUGCAGACAGCAGCUUGCACAAUUUAAAUUCGUGCAGCAUUCUGUGUGUAACUUGAGGCCCAGUGGUAACUGUGGUAUAGCAUAUUGAUUAGCAAUUUGAUAAAUAUAUAAAAUGGCACACUGAGUUUAAGGUGCUUCAUGAAAAAUGUAUUUAAAUGACCUUGGCUAAUUAGCGUGAAUAGCUUUGAGGCACUGCUGCCUGAAUGAAAGACAUUUUUAGAGUCCAGAGAUUUAAAAGGUUUCAUGACUGGAUGAACAAAAUUUAAACCAAGGGAAAAGAGCAAACAUUAAUUUUCAUAGAAAUUAAGGUGAAUUAGAUGACCUGAUAGAACUUUUUUCCAUUUCUUGCAGGUUCUGUACUGUUCUUCUUAGCAUAUGCCUGUUACUCCUUUCCAUCUAAUUGCUAAAUUUCUUAAAUAACCAGGAUUUCAGCACUUUCCUCAGAAGAUUAUUUUAGAGUCUAAUGGAUCAGAAAGUAUUUUCUAAUAUACAUCUAAAAUUAUCCUUUUCACAGUGUAAGCUAUUACUUCUUUAGGUAGUUAUGGUUUGUUGUAAUACUUGAAAUAAUUCCUCUCCUUCCUCUGUGCCUGUAUCCACCUACAAUAUGUAGGUGAUCACUUAGUAAAAUUAUAGGAAUAUAUUUUUUAUUCUCAUCUCAUAAACCAGUUUCUUCCAUUAUUUAACAAUAGUAUUUUGUCUUUCCAGAGCUAAUUUUUGCAUAAUAGUGAUGUUGUCACAGUGCUGAAGUUAGACUGAAGUUCUAAUCCAGGCUGAAAAAAGCUCUUGCCUCCUGUAAAUUCUGAUAUACAUCAGCAAUUUUCAUUGUCCAUUUUCAAUCUGUUGUUUCAUUCUACAGCUGAAUUUUUUUCACUGUUUACACUUGAAACCUCCUUUUAUCACUGCUGUUUUCUUUACAAAAUGAAGAAAUUGGUUUUAAUCCAUAGUUUCACUGAAGUGUUGGCUCAUGCUUCUCUGAGCUCAGUCUUUAUUUUCAUUUUAUGUUACACAAAGCAUGUUCAGAGGUAAUUUGGCAUAGAUCUAAGCGAGCAUGACUCAGUGAAAUCACUGUAGGCUGCCAUGCUAAUAUGAGAAAUGCAUCUUAGACAGCAAGUAGAAGACAAUUGUCUGGAAUGGAGGUGAGAUGGUAACUCUGACUGGAAUGGUCUCCUGUGAAGGAAAGAAAUCUCCCUGAUGGAAGAAAGCAAUUAUUGCGAAAAACCAAACCCAAACAAAUGUUCAAUCAAGAUAUAACUUCUAUCAAAAAAUCUUCAGUGAGAAAACUUCAGUUUACUGAAGAGUUGGCAAUAUAUGGCACCACUAACCCAGCUCAGAACUUGAUUGACAUGGAGUAUCAGGAGAUACUGUGAGGAGAGGGCAAGGAGUUCAAGAACUUGUGGAAAAAAAGAAAACUUCAAUCCUUUCAAAGUGCUAUAUUACCCAUCCUAGAAACAAUCAAUCAACAGAAAUUUGCUUCUAUCAGUGUUUUAGCUUCAGAUCUUCGAUCACUGCUGAAUCAAAAAUUUGUAACCUGACUCCAACCUAGUCCAUGUUUGUGAAUCAGCACAUAAAACACACACUCUCCGUCACUGGGAAGUGCCUGCUCUCUAGGAUACUGCCCUCCUCCUUGGUAGAAUUCCAUGUUGUGGAAGAAGCUGAAAAAUAUCUUCUCUAACUGAUCACAGAGCUGAGACAAGCAUUUCAGCAUCAGUAAUGGCUGAUCAUGACCCCACACAACUGUGUCUCCAUCUCUAUUCAUGUUUCACUCUGCUCUUGUCAAGAUAGCACUGCUGAAAUCAGGCUCCUAAGAGCAGUAACACAAUGUGGCACUGCUGCUGCAAUGAAGAUAAAAGGCAAGUGCACUCAUCUUGUGGCCUCAGGACUCUUGCUUUGCUGGUGAGUUGUUCUGCAUGUGUUUUCUGGGCAGAGAGUGAAGGAAUGGCAUUGUGGCUGCUCAACUCCAAUGCAGUGUGUGGCUUCACUGAGGAAGAAAGGAACACAUUUGUCACUGUGCCAGUGCAGGCUGGACUCUGCAUUUCUAAACUGCAGCUGCAUUUCUGAAAACCUUUAUUUUCCUUAAGGCUUUGAAUGUUACUUAUCAAUCAGUUUGUGCUCUAUGUAACUGCCUGUUUUGCUUCUGCCCCAAGUCACUGGGAACCAGCUGGGUACGCCCACUAUUGCAGAAUACAGAACAAGCAAGAAUAAAGUUUUAACCUGGAAGUUAUUGCUUAUACAGCUUGUGGAUCUUUGAAACAGUUGCAGUAUUGUAAAUUUAAUAUGUCAGCUCAAGUCUGCAGAACAGGUAGUCAAAAACUUGAACAGUUUGAUGAAAGAGGAGGUGGAGUCUGUCAGCAUCUCUACAAAUAUUUGAAAACUGACUGUCUGUGCUCUUGAGAAGCCAACUGUAAUUGAUCCUGUUCUGAACAGGGAACUAAGACUAGAGGAUCUCCAGAAGUCCCUUCCAACCUCAGAGAUUCUUUGGAAAUAAUUAAGACCACAAUUGAGUUACUGAUCAUAUAAAGAAUCUUUUAUUUUGGUUAAAUACCAAGGGAAAUUUUAAAUGCACCAUCUUUUCCUACUCAGUUAAACUGAAUUUUCAUUGUCUCUAUUUAAUGUAGUUAAUGCUGGGAGGCAUUAUGAAGAAUUAGAAUUUUCCAUAAUUUUGUCUUUCUUUUCCAACACUGCACAGGUUAUAAGGCCAGUACUUCCCAGACACAUGAACAGUUGCAAGCACCAUCUUCAUUGCUAUAGGAAAAUAACUUGUGUACCAAGGAGGCAAAUAUUACUGUUGAGAGGCAUAUUGGUGGAACCCUUAUAUGGAGGGAUGCUUGUGUAGUUGUUUUCCUACUUCUAUUCCUUUUUUUCCCCUAGGAUUAUUUUACUAGGAUAGUGCAUAAAAUCUGACCUUUCUUUGCAAAUCAACGUUUCUCAAUGGACUCAAUUACUUUCACUACUAUCAAAUAUUGGAGAAAGUUUGUUAUUAAGUGACAAUUGCAACAACAAGUUUGAUGAAAUAGGAAGUUCAAAGGUGCUCAGUAAGCAGCUGCAUCACAGUAUUUUUAGAAAGACUGGAACCUGUAUAAUUCCCCAAGCUGCUACAAAAUAACUUCUGAACAAAAUAAAUAAGAGUAUUAUUGAAAAUCUGGGGAUCUGCAAACUUCGAGGGCUACAGGGAUUUCAUGAUACCUGAAUAUGAAUGCUGAAUCACUUAUGUAUCUAUUCAAAAUCACUGACUUGGGAACUUACACAACAUGAUGGCAGGUAAUUAUCAAUCACCCUCUACAUCCAGUAUAAUGUACUGCAUUUAUUAUUUCACGGCAUUACAGAGUAACUUUCACUUUCAGCUCUAUCAGCAAAUUCUCAGUUGGCUGCAACAUAAAAAUAUCAAGGUAUCUGCAAGCGAAUCUUUUAAUAUUAUAUUGAAUCUACAGUUCUGACAGGGAAAAUGAAAUAUUAGUUUGGGUUUUUUUUAAGCAUAGGAGUAAGUGCUGAUCAAGUUUGUUUGAAGAACAGUUCAAUUGAUGAUGGUUUCAUUUUAUAGAUCUGGAUACUUUCCACCUUCACUGCUGUAAUGCUAAUAUUUGUGGACAAUAGGUGUAAUAAGACAGUUAAUAUUGUUCAUACUAAAUGACCAAUGAUGUUGUGUGUAAUAUCAGAGUUCUGUCAGUCUUUUUCCGUGCAAAUGCAUUCAUUAGUCUGAUCCUCUUCCUAUUCAUAGAAUUUUCAAGAAAACUUGUGGGAACACAAUUUUUUUUGAGAAUAUAUUUUAAUUAUUUAUUAAUUAUUUAAUUAUUAAUUAAUUAAAUAUAUAUUUAAUUAAUUGGUCAGAUGGGAUAAAAAUUGAAUAAGAUGGAGUUUUGAGCUGAAGAUGGAAAGAGACUCAAUGAUCUCAAAAUGCCUUUUUUUUUUUCUUUUUUGGAAACAGAGUAAAAUAAGCAUUUUCUGACAGUGUAUCUACAGUUGUCUUCUGUGUAGCAAUUUUAGUGUUGAGGUAUGUACCGUGUUAAAAUUACAAAAUAGCAUUAUUAGAUUGAAAUUCUUGAACUGCAAAACACUAAAUUCUAUUUUCUCUAAAGUAUUAUGGCAUAUUUUUCAUGACUAGCAAAAGCCUCACAUGUCUAAAGGAAACAGCCAAACCCAAACCAGUAGUGACAAUUUUUUUGGCCCCUGUAUUUGAAAGAGAACAGAAAUUAAACUUCUGAGUGAAAGGAAAAAUACAAUAUUCUUGACUCAGUAAGAUUUCAUCUGAGAAAUGGUUACUGAAAACUCCCGUUUUGAAAAUGGGCGGCUGAUAAAUAAAUUUGUUUAUGUUUUUGGAGUUUGAGUAAUUUAUCUGGAUUACUGUGUUGAUUGAUGAAAUGGUAAAAAAUAUCCCAGCACCCCAAACUACAGAAAAGUCUUCUGAAAUGGUGAACAAUAAAAUACCAGCUUUGUGUUGUUUACUAGUACCUGUCAAUUUAAUAGCUAAACCAUUAAAAUAACAAAAAAGGCAAGAAAAGACAAGCAAGACAGGUAGAUGCAUUUUCCUCUCCCUUGUUAAAAAAACGUGUUGCUGAAAGGACAUGUGAUAAUUGUAAAAAUUUCCAGUGUUCAUUGUUAGAAAAUGUGGCAAAAAGCUUGGAACAAGGUACAUUAUUUGUGUUCUAAUGUGCCUCCAGGGUGUCCUAAAUUAUGUUUUUUGAUCUUUAAUAUCUGUGUAGUGUCCAUGAAGAACCCACAUAGGCAUGUAGGAAACCAAAAUAAAUUGAAUAUUUUUUUAAUAUGAAGAAAUAAAAAGAAGUCCUCUGAAAAAUGUUUCUAAUCCUUAAAUGAACACUGGGAUGAAAAACUGGGGCACACAGCUUAGCACUGGCAGGGGUGAUAAGCUGGGACUUUAAAUGAGGAUAAUGCAGUUGUUCUCACUGAGCAUUGUUCAAAUGAUGGGUUUUUUUUCCUCUGGUUGUAGUCAGUCUUUCUUCAGAAUCUGGAAAAGUUUUGUUUAGAAAUCAACUCAAUCUUCAUCUAAGUUUAUAAGCUACUGUUCUCAAACAUACCAUUUAACAAAGGGUACAUUUUUAGUGGCAGCUGCUAAAAUCAGUUUUGAUAACACAUUUGCACUUAAAUAGUUCCCGGGACUUCAGUUGUGAACUGUACCGAUUGUCUCUGUGCAAAUAUACUUCAGAAAUUGGACUUUUCAUUAAAUAUAGAAAAAUAAAUGAACAGUUCACCUUAC